rnacentral:sRNA from 1 species
ACUAUCAUGUGAUUCGCCCACCUACUGUGCCAACAUGGCGGCGCCCAGAUCGUAAUUCGGAAAACGUGCACCCUGACUAAUUCGGUUUUCUGUGGCUACAAGAGCAGAGCCCGGUUUUUCGAGUGGCAGUCCCCAGGGCUGCCGAAUCCAGCAGCGAUGGAAAACGGCACCGGGCCCUACGGAGAAGAACGCCCACGUGAAGUCCAGGAGACGACAGUCACCGAGGGGGCUGCCAAAAUCGCCUUUCCCAGCGCCAACGAGGUCUUUUAUAACCCGGUGCAGGAAUUCAAUCGGGACCUGACGUGAGCAGGGGUCAGACGUUAGCCUGGCAUCGGCUGGUGGGUCAAUGUGGAUGGCGGGGGCGGGGUAUGAGCUAGUCCUCUGUCUCCCACCAGAUGUGCUGUGAUCACCGAGUUUGCUCGCAUUCAGCUUGGGGCCAAAGGAAUCCAGAGUGAGUGGAGGUCCAGGCUUCUGGUGGGCGGGGGUCACACAAGUCUAUCUCCCUUGGCUCUUCUGCCGCCCAAAUUCAGAGAGGCUUCAGCCACAUAGCAGGCCCUGCGUUCUGCUCCUUCAGCCUUUCCCCAGGGACUUCAGGGACGAUAUUUUGG